rnacentral:lncRNA from 1 species
AGAGUAUAGCAGAGGCAGGGUGUAAACUCUGCUCCUCAGCCUGCUCAAUCCUCAACUCACCUUACCAGUCGGUUAUGAGGAAGAAAGUUUCUAGUUCCUUUAACUUCCCAGAGAACUCUGCGCAAAGCAGAAAGAAAAACAUUGCUGAACAUUGCCACAAUGCUGAUUGAUGAAUAGUCGGCCUGAUGGUUAAUAUUGAGUGUCAACUCGAUCAGAUUGAAGGAUGAAAAGUUUUGUUCCUGGGUGUGUCUGUGAGGGUGUUGCCAAAGGAGAUUAACAUUUGAGUCAGUGGAUUGGGAGAGGCAGACCCACCCUCAAUCUGGGUGGGUCUAAUCAGCUGCCAGUGUGGCUAGAAUAAAAUCAAGCAGAAGAAUGUGGAAAUGCUAGACUGGCUGAGUCUUCCGGCCAUCUUUCUCCCGUGCUGGGUGCUUCCUGCCCUCAAACAUUGGACUCCAAGUUCUUCAGCUUUUGGACUCUUGGAUUUACACCAGUGGUUCGCCAGGGGCUCUAGGGCCUUCAGCCACAGACUGAAGGCUGCCCUGUCGGCUUCCCUAUUUUUGAGGUUUUGGGACUUGGACUGGCUUCCUUGCUCCUCAGCUUGCAGAUAGCCUACUGUGGGACUUCACCUUGUGAUCGUAGACAGGGUCUGGCUAUGUUACUCAGGCUGGUUUCAAACUUCUGGCCUCAAGCAAUCCUCCCGCCUCGGCCUUCAAAAGUGUUGGGACUAUAGGCCCAGCCUCACCUCCCCAUUUUAACAAUCUACUACACAGCUCUGAAUCUUUCAACUUCCACCAAAAAAAAACAAAACAAAACACUUGCAUGGUUCCCUAUUGUCUAGGCCACAAAAUCCAAGAUCCUAGACCUGAAACUCAAAACCUCCAUGCUCUGACUCUCCUGUAGUCCAUGCUCUGACUCCAGCAUAAUUCUCCAGCCUCAUCACCUUCAGCUUUCCAUCACUCAUUUGCCUGACAAUUCAGCCAAUCAAGACUAGCUGCUGUUCUUUCAAUACACCUUACAUUUCCUCUACUUUAAGCCUUUCCCUCAUGCUGUGCCCUUCUUCUGGAAUGCUCACCAACUCCCACCUCCACUUCUCCAAGUCCCUGAAAUCAAGCCCAGCUGGAUGGCUACUACUCCAAGGAAGGCUCAUUUCUGCUGAAUGCACACCAGCUCCAAUCCUCCAAGGCAAAUACUCCUGCCCCUUCACCACCUGGUCCUCAGCCCUUUUCUCAUGGUGCAGUUCAUCUAUGAAAGAGACUGAGCCCCUAUGAGUGAGGGUGAUGUCAACACAACAGCAGGCACCCUUGGUAACCAAGUCAGCUUCCAUAUUGAUCAGGACUCUUUUGAUUGCAAGAAACCAAACUCGGAUCUUUAUAAAAGCAAAGGUAAUUGACUCAGUCAGAAGCACAUACAGCACGAGAGUUGUAGGCAUGGCUACACUUAAGCCAUCCCUUUAUCUGGCUUUCAUUAGAGCCUCGGCCGCGCCUCUUUUGUGGGAGAGACUUGAGGGAGCCGAGGCAGUUUCCCAGCCGCUGUGAUGUUGCUAAAGAUUAAAAAGGAGCUUUGAAGCUGCACCAGUUCUCUCUGUGCCCCCUCGGUACAGGACCUCAGAAAGACCCAAGCCAUCUGGCAAACCUGACAUAAAGACAAAAUAAAGUGAUUGAAACAGUCUCUUCAAAGCCACAAUGGCAGAUUUGUUGAUUUGGGCGU